AGGAAUCAGUAUGCGCGGUGUGCGGGAUCUCGGUCCUAGAGGCGUAGGAGGAGGCCCGGGAGGCGUUAGAGCACCUGAUACCGGAGUCCCGGGAGUGAAGGUGAUGGCUGGCGCCUUCCCAAUGUAAAGGAUCACGGUUCAGACACAGAAGGCCUAGGUGAAGGGAAUGAAGGCUCCUACCAUGUGGGUUUCCAAAGGUCAGAAGGGUAACUCGGCAUCCCAACAUUUCAGAGUCCAGCUUGCAGUUAGAACAACUUCGAUGCCCCAGGAACAAGAAGUGACCUUCUAAGAGACCCAGGCCAUCAGUAUCUAAGACAAAGACUCAUCUAGCAGUCAGGCUCAUUUGGAAAUAAACUUGGUGGGACCAGUUUUA